rnacentral:misc_RNA from 1 species
UCCGUCUUACGACGGCAGUUUCGUUAGAGUGAUACAACUAACGAUAAGGGUUGCGCUCGUUAACCCACUUAAGGGUACGCCUCACGGUACGAGCUGACAACAGCCAUGCAACACCUGUUCAAGCUUCAUCUUGCGACGAUCGUUGGCCUUUCGGCUUCCUACUACUUGUAUGUCAAACCCUGGUAAGGUUCUUGGGUUAUCAGCCAAUUAAAGAGCAUGCUCCACCGCUUGUGCGGGUCCCCGCCAAUUCCUUUGAGUUUUAGCCUUGCGGCCGUACUCCCCAGGCGGUCCGCUUAACGCGUUAGCUUCGACACCCACAUAAGCAGGCAUCUAGCGGACAUUGUUUACGGCGUGGACUA